AUGUUCCGGGUGUGGAGUGGAAGCGUCCUCCGGAGUUCCACACCAGCCCGGUAUUCAUGGAGGGCGGAGCGUUCACAUCGGACAUCUGCCAGGGGGAGCUGGGUGACUGCUGGCUCCUCUCCUCCAUGUCGUCACUGACUCUCCACCCCAAACUCUUCUCGCGUGUGGUCCCUGAGAACACGAGCUUUGCCGAGAAAGAAGGAUACAGCGGAAUCUUCCAU